rnacentral:rRNA from 1 species
GAUGAACGCUGGCGGCGUGCCUAAUACAUGCAAGUUGAGCGCUGAAGGUUGGUACUUGUACCAAUGGGAUGAGCAGCGAACGGGUGAGUAACGCGUGGGGAAUCUGCCUUUGAGCGGGGGACAACAUUUGGAAACGAAUGCUAAUACCGCAUAAAAAUUUUAAACACAAGUUUUAAGUUUGAAAGAUGCAAUUGCAUUACCUAAAGAUGAUACCGCGUUGUAUUAGCUAGUUGGUUAGGUAAAGGCCCACCAAGGCGAUGAUACAUAGCCGACCCGAGAGGGGUGACGGCCAAAAUGGGACUUGGACACGGGCCCAGCCUCUACCGGAGGCAGCAGUAGGGGAUCUUCGGCAAUGGAGGGAAGUCCGGACGGGGCAAGCCGCGGGAGUGAAGGAGGGUUUCCGAUCGUAAAAACCUGUUUGUAAGGGAGGACGAUGGGGGGAGGGGAAAGCUCAUCACUUGACGGUAACUACCCAGAAAGGGACGGCUAACUACGUG